GGAGUUCUCAUGCAGCGUAUCCUUACACACCCUUCUUUUAGCACAGAAGCCUUCAGUCUGGUUGGCGUGCUCGCUCAGUAUAUCUAAGGCAUGGCUAUCGAACGACAUUUAGACCCCCGCGAAGUUUGCGAUCUAAAAGGACUGGGCGCUAGGUUUCUCUGACAACGCAUGCGGAUUUGAAUUAAAAAUGGCGACCGGUUGGAGAAGGGACGUGAUCUUUUCACAUUUACACUUUGUAAUAGUCGUUACUCGGUAUCUUUAAUGCCAAGUUUUAGAGAUAUCUACUUACAAGGGCUGUGCAGUUAUAAAUAAAGUAUUUCAUCAUGAAAACGCGAAAACCGCUGGACCUUUGUACCCGAGCCUGUCUUCGAUUUCUUUGUAAAACUGAAAUAACUUUAUCGCUCUUGAGUAAAKGCUUAAACUUCU